CUACUUGCCAUCUCUGUCAGGAAGAUUGUGAGUUACCUCUAAGUGAAAAUCUCCACUGACAGAUGUCCACUCUGGUAGGGUUGCCUUUUACAAGAGAAACAUGAAUCCAUGUGUCAACGCCCUUAAGUUUACUGGCCUAGAUUGGUCAGUAAUACCUGUCGUCAGUUAGGUGCAGUGGCCUAUGCCUGUGGUCCCAAAUAUUUGGAAGGUUGAGGCAGAAGGGUGGCUUGAGCCCAGGAGUUCAAGGCUACAAUGAGUCAUGAUUGUGCCACUGCAUUCUGGCUUGGGGAAUAGAAUGAGAUCCCAUCUCAAAAAAAAAUAUAUAAAGUAAUAAUAAUAGCUGAUGUGGUCCCUUCCAACAGUCUUGGGGAGAAUAUUUUAUUUGAUGUUGUUUCCAGUAAACAACAACAUCUCCAGGUUAUAGGCCAAGAUUUUUGAUAUUUUCAUCUCCCAGGAGUUCAUUAUGAAUGGAAUUCUUUGUUAAUGUAGAGUUCUUAGUAAGUUCUGUGAGAUCUUAGCAGUAAUGGAGAAUGUCACCUUUAAGAAGUGCAGAUUCAUAAGCGCCUUCAUCUAACCACUGCAAGGGUCUUCCUGUUAUUAUUUCAAAGAGGGAGAGUGUGGACAUUUUCCACAACCAGUGGGAGAUCCUUGUCCAAGAAAGGUGGCCACAGAGUGCAUGUGCUAUGAGGGACCCGUCCGACAUAUACCCUCCCAGAAGAGCAGGAAAGGGGGUUCAUAAAGAUGUUCUUCUGAUGGGGAGUGUCCUAUAAGGCCACCUUCACAUGGGAGGAUCGCAGCGCAUUUCGGCCAAGACAGGUGAGACUGCGGUUCUGACCUGCGGGCCUCGAUGAAUUGCGUUAGGACACCUGGGCUCCGGGAGAGCCGUUCCACUCCGCAAAGUAAGCGUGUUAUGUCUACAACCCAACGGGGACGCGCUAAGAGCCCCAAAGGCCCUGCUUUCAUCCCAAAGAACAGCCCCCGCCUGCGUAGUUUGUACCCGGCUCUAUGAGGUGAGAACACAUUCCCCGAUAGCACAGAAAUCCUACAAACUCCUGAGGGGGCUGCGGCUAGAAGCAGACGCUGUGUGAAAUGUGACUGGAGGUUAGGGAAAAACACGUAGAUUUUCACAGACCCUGAGAACCCAAGAGACUGCAGACCAUGGACAGACAAAUCUCUGCAAAAAGCAGCCCCGCGUAGAUAAAGGAAGAGCUGUGCGGCCUUCGCGCUAGCUAGCUUGUGUAAAGGUCGACGCUUCUUAUUUCUCCCGAGGCGGGGAGAAAGCGACAUAUUACUACUAUUCCUCAACCUCCGACUGUGAGAGAAACGAUUAAGAGUAAAGCACAAGCCAGUAAAAAAAACAAGUAACCCUCGCCGUGCAGACUGUUCUUUAAACUACAAAAAUCAGG
rnacentral:lncRNA from 1 species